GGGACUAGGAUGCAGACCUCC
rnacentral:miRNA from 1 species